CUUAUCCGGAGUGACUGAGGGAACAGGCCCUGUGAAGUCCGACAACCUGCCGAUGAGGUAAGGUGCCAAAUCCUGCGGUGUAGCCGAAAGAUGAGU
rnacentral:ncRNA from 1 species